GCGCCCAUAGUUCAACGGAUAGAACGGGAGAUUGCGGAUCUUCUGAUGUAGGUUCAAUUCCUACUGGGCGCA
rnacentral:tRNA from 1 species